rnacentral:rRNA from 1 species
CAGUAGCCGCGGUAAUACGGAGGGUGCAAGCGUUAAUCGGAAUUACUGGGCGUAAAGCGCACGCAGGCGGUCUGUCAAGUCAGAUGUGAAAUCCCCGGGCUUAACCUGGGAACUGCAUUUGAAACUGGCAGGCUAGAGUCUUGUAGAGGGGGGUAGAAUUCCAGGUGUAGCGGUGAAAUGCGUAGAGAUCUGGAGGAAUACCGAUGGCGAAGGCAGCCAUCUGGCCUAAUACUGACGCUGAGGUACGAAAGCAUGGGGAGCAAACAGGAUUAGAUACCCGUGUAGUCCCUGUCUCUUAUAA